GCACUGCUGAUGAGUCUCAUAAUAAGACGAAAUGGCCGUCCAAUAC
rnacentral:hammerhead_ribozyme from 1 species